GGUUAAGUGACUAAGCGUACACGGUGGAUGCCUUGGCAGUCAGAGGCGAUGAAGGACGUAUUAACUUGCGAUAAGCGUAGAUAAGGCAGUAAAAGCCACUUGAGUCUACGAUUUCCGAAUGGGGAAACCCGGCCGCAUAAGCGGUCAUCUCUUAGUGAAUACAUAGCUAAGUGAAGCGAACUCGGGGAACUGAAACAUCUAAGUACCCGAAGGAAGAGAAAUCAACCGAGAUUCCGAAAGUAGCGGCGAGCGAAAUUGGAUUAGCCCUUAAGCUUUUAAUGAUGCAGACGAAGACUCUGGAAAGUGUCGCAGUAAAGGGUGAUAGCCCNGNAGUCGACGCAUCAUAAUCAGUGAA
rnacentral:rRNA from 1 species